AUUGAACGCUGGCGGCAGGCCUAACACAUGCAAGUCGAGCGGAUGAAAGGGGCUUGCUCCUGGAUUCAGCGGCGGACGGGUGAGUAAUACGCAGGAAUCUACCUAGUAGUGGGGGAUAACGUUUCGAAAGGGACGCUAAUACCGCAUACGUUCUGAGGAAGAAAGCAGGGGAUCGUAAGACCUUGCGCUAUUAGAUGAGCUUGCGUCCGAUUAGCUAGUUGGUGGGGUAAAGGCCUACCAAGGCGACGAUCGGUAACUGGUCUGAGAGGAUGAUCAGUCACACUGGAACUGAGACACGGUCCAGACUCCUACGGGAGGCAGCAGUGGGGAAUAUUGGACAAUGGGGGCAACCCUGAUCCAGCCAUGCCGCGUGUGUGAAGAAGGCCUCGG
rnacentral:rRNA from 1 species